UAUUGGUAUCAUACGUUCUCCGUUGUUUGACGCGAGCGGACUAAGGUGACUGGGGUAGCUCGCAGCCUCGCAAAACUAUGGAUAAAAUGUGUAUUUUAGAUUGAUUGACAGUUCCGUUAUACGUCGAGCUUUUAUUAAUCAUCACCGAUUUGGAUUAUAUAUACGAAUUUUAAAGCGAAAAGUUUAUUUUUGAUUCCAGUUGGAGUGUGAAGUAAACUGCAUACCUGUGAAUGAAUUGGAACAGGGGAGAAAACUCCGGGUUUACUAUCGUCGAAGAAAACUAUCGUCUCUCUGAACGGUGACGUGAUUGUAUCUUUGUGGAUUUAUUAAUAUACAUGUGUGCUCAUAUUGAACCAGUGGUUUAAUUCCAAUAUUGAAACGAUAGUUAUCCACCGUGAAAAUACAGUAGCCUGGUUAUAAUCAACUGCAGCACACUUCAAAGUGGAAAUUCUGUUUAAUUAUUCACCACUGCUACCACGCAUGCGCACGGAGUUAUUGUAACAGAAAGUGAAAAACAUGGCGAAAGGCUGGUGGAGUGGAAUAUGGGCUCCGAUUUUACUGUUUUCUAGCUCGUUUACAAGUGUUGUAAUAUGUGCGAGAGAAGUUGUAUUACUAGACACAACAAAAAUAAGCCGACUAGAAUGGACAACAUACAAAGGUGGUUCUCAAGACAACACAAACAAUGGGUGGCGAGAAGGCAGUUACUCCGCAGAGAAUGGAAAUCCUGUACGUGUGUACGCCUCGUGUUCCGUCAGCAGUCAGGGUGUGGACAACUGGCUGAGGACUCCCUUCAUUCCCCGGGGCGAGGCCAACAGUUUACACAUAGAAAUUACAUUCUCCAUGAGGCGUUGUGUCAAACACAAUGACCCGGGCAGCCUCCAGCAGUGUAAGGAGACAUUCAAUCUCUUUUACUACGAGGCUGAUUCAGAUAUAGCGAACGAAAUGAUGCCAAUGUGGGAUGAAAUUUCGUAUCAAAGUAUAGACAAGAUUGCUGCAGAUCAUCUAUAUGAUGACAAUUCUAAUUUAAAAAUUAACAAGGAAGAUCGGGAAGUGCCAUUGAAUCGUGGUCUUGGUGGUGUUUAUUUCUCAUUCCAGGAUACAGGGGCGUGUGUAACACUUAUUUCCAUCAAAAUUUACUAUGUCAUGUGCCCCAACGUGACUUUGAACUUCGCAUUCUUCAUGGAAACUCCGACUGGUGACAGUCCGCAGGCGCUGGAAGAGCGGAAAGGUGUAUGUGUGGCAAACGCCGCAGAGGAUGCGCUCCCUACGUACCUUUGUCGUAGUGAUGGAACAUGGUUUUAUGCCAAAGGCAGCUGUCAGUGUUUACCUGGAUACGAAGGUCACAACAGCCUCGAGUGUAUCGAGUGUCGGGCUGGGUUUUACAAGUGGGAGCUAGGGAACCAUCCCUGUAGUAGCUGCCCGGCCCACAGCUUCUCCACGGCACCCAAGUCUGUAGAGUGUACGUGUGAAGAGGACUUCUACCGCAGCGACACUGACCCCAAGAGCAUGUCAUGCACACAGCCUCCUUCUGCCCCACAAAACGUUGCCGUGCGACAGUAUACCCACAAUUCCAUCACUGUGACGUGGCGCUUUCCAAUGUACGAUGGUGGACGGAAUGACGUCAUGUUCCGCAUUGACUGUCAGCAGUGUGACAGCAGUGUGACCUUCACACCUGACAAACCGACCUUCAACUCCACAAGUGUCAUUCUGUCAGGGCUACAGUCUAGUACGACGUACAGCAUUCGGAUUUACUCAGAAAAUGGUGUCACGCAGGCCAGUAAAAAACCUGCUCAGUACGGUGAGGACACUUCUACCACCCUCAGCAGUCGCCCUACCAUCAUCAACGUUCAUGUUGUGUCUGUCGGGGACUCGUAUGUGACCAUUACGUGGGAGAAGGCGACAGAGUUUAAGGAUACAAUCCAAGACUACCAGGUGAAGUGGUAUCGCCGAUGGAAGGGCGAAGAAAAGACUAAUUCCUCCAAUGUACAGAACUUCACCUUUCGUAACCUGCUUCGAGACACAGAAUAUAGCUUCCAGGUUCGAGGUUACUCCACGGUGAAGGGAUGGGGAGACUUCAGUCAGCCUUUACAUGUGAUGACUGGAUAUUCAGAUGGUGUCACCUAUUACAAAGGUCAAUUUAACAGGACAACUCCGGAUAGGGGAGAUGAAACCAAAUUGGAUGCUCCUCUACCUUCCAUUGGAAUCAUUAUCGGAUCUAUCGUGGCAGUUUUCCUGUGUAUGGCUAUAGCGGCAAUAAUGAUAUAUCUGCUGGUGAAGAGAAAUCAAAACCAGUGUAAUGAGACGAAAGGUGGAGAGUGUGAUACACUGCACUAUAGCCACGGUGAGGUUGUGCAUUGUCCCCCGUUGGAGCCUCAUAUGAACGUGGGAUCGACCGUGCCCCUGUUUCCUCCGCCUGGCUCGUACAAGACAUACGUAGAUCCACACACUUACGAGGACCCAAACCAGGCUGUCCGGGAGUUCACACGAGAAAUAGACGCUUCCCAUAUCACUAUAGAGUCUGUUAUAGGGGGAGGUGAAUUCGGUGACGUUUGUAAAGGUAAACUUCGUAAGCCUGCCCACCCUGAAAUGACGGUCGCAAUCAAAACACUCAAACCAGGAGCCACAGAUAAAAACCGUUUAGACUUCCUGACAGAGGCGAGCAUCAUGGGACAGUUUGAUGAUCCAAAUGUUAUAUUCCUCGAAGGUGUCGUCACAAAAAGUCAUCCCAUUAUGAUUGUAACCGAGUAUAUGGCCAAUGGGUCUCUAGACACGUACCUCAGGAAUAAUGAUGGGAAAUUCACGAUCAUACAGUUGGUAGGAAUGAUGCGAGGUAUAGCGGCUGGAAUGAGGUACCUCUCAGAGAUGGGCUAUGUUCACCGAGACCUAGCAGCUAGGAAUAUUUUAGUCAAUGAAAACUUGGUAUGCAAAGUGGCUGACUUUGGUCUGUCUCGUGAGGUGGACAUUGACACAACUGACGGUGCUUACACAACAAAGGGAGGAAAGAUACCGGUGAGGUGGACAGCACCCGAGGCUAUAGCAUUCCGUAAAUUUACCACCGCCUCCGAUAUCUGGAGCUACGGGGUGGUAAUGUGGGAGAUUAUUUCGUAUGGUGAGCGACCAUAUUGGAAUUGGUCCAACCAGGAUGUGAUACGAGCCGUAGAGAAAGGGUACCGCCUACCUCCCCCUAUGGAUUGUCCUGAAGCCAUCCACCAACUCAUGCUGGACUGCUGGCAGAAGGACCGAGGCAACCGUCCAAAAUUUGUACAGAUCGUCAAGUCUCUAGACAAGUUCAUCAGGGCACCAGAACUACUACGCAAAAUUGCUAAACCAAGGCCAGAACACCUGAUGGACGCUGGAUUCUCCGCACCAGAGGUACCACAGUACACUAAUGUAGAGAGCUGGCUGAUCUCAAUCAAAAUGGAGAAAUACAUUGACAAUUUUCUUCAGGCAGGUUAUCGUACUAUGGACCAGGUCGCGACGAUAACUCCUAAGGACCUAGAGGUCACGUUACAAAUCACGCUAAUAGGUCACCAGAAGAAAAUCAUGAACUCAGUACAAACAUUACGUGUGCAAAUGUAUGGACUACAGUUUCCACAGAUGUCCGAUGGAUUCCUUGUAUAGCAUCGACUGUUCAUGAUCACGACAGCUUUUGUGUGUGUGUGUCUGAAGUCUCGUGUCAUUGUGUGUUACUGACAUUGCCACGUUUGUGUCCGUCACAUUGAGAUGGAGCCUACUCCUGUUGGCAUGGAAACAAUGGUACCAUGUCAUUGACAAAUCCGCUUUUUAAAACCAUCAAAACUUGCAGUGGCUCAAAGGUGGCGCUGUGAGUUGUCGACCAAUGGAAGCCUUGUGUGUGCUUAGGUUGUAGGUGGAGAAGAAAGUAAUUGCUUACAAACUAAAACUGCCUAAAGGUACAGUACAAACAAAUGGAUAACUCCAAUCGCACGUACAGACAUCGUUGUGUCAGCUUGUACAGACAACACCAAGGUGAAGGUGAGAAGUGUCAGUGUCAAGGUCGUAUUCCCAUUACCUGUGUGUUGAUGUGUCUCCAGAGGAGGUUUCUCAUGUGUCUGCUUCAUUUUGUAUAUUCAUCAGGCUUCGCUGUGAUUGGUUGACUGACUGGAGAUUACCGUAGUUGCAAAUAAUUUCGGCCAAUUGGAUUCAUGUAGACUUGUUUGACAAUUGAUAAUAUAUGCUGUCACCCGAGGAAAAGUUUGUGUGUGAGGAACAACAUUGUGUGAUUAUAUUACAUUAUUGGCAUGACUUACAUAUUCAGCCGUCAGAAUAAGAUUGGAUGGGGUGAACAUUCAUUUUAAUUCAGUCACGUUUUUGGUGAAAUUUCGAAGAAAAUUUAAUUGGGGAAUCUAUUGAUCCAAAUAUGCAACAUUUCCUAUGAUAGAGUGAGAGUAUGAUGGCAGUGAGAGGGUUUCAGUGUGAUAUAUAUGACCACUGAGUUUUAACUAAAUAACAUGACAGUUUCGCCAUGGUAGACAUGGAGCCAGUAUAACUGGCAUAUAUCACAUGACUGUCACAUGACAUGUGAAAAAUAUUACAUGCCUGUCAUGAUUUGUGAACUGUAUUUAUGUGCUCCUAUAGGUGAGUGGCUUGUUGUAUUCCAUAUGGGGUGUGCUCUGGGUAGACUCUCCACAGAUCACUAGUGUCCUGAUCAGCUCGGCUGUUUUAGUCCUGUACUGAACACUUAAACUUCAGUACUGUUUAUACUUACUUUAGAUUUUAUUACAAUGCCAAAUUUACUGAUGAAAAUAUCGAUCUGUUUAGAAUCUACCCAAAGCAGUUUAAAACUAUUGUGUAUAUACUUUUGACAUAUUUAUUGUGAUAUUCCGAACAUUUUGUAUACAACCCCCCGUCACAUUACCUCAUUUAAUUGUAGUUUAAUAGGGGUCUCUGUGAUUUUUCAUUUUCACCGAUGACACUCAGUUGCUAAUUUGUUCAGUAUAUAUUUGCCUUGUGUCUCACUAAAUGGUAGAUCUGCUGCUAAAGUAGUUUGCUUCAUUGUUAAGCUUAUUUUCUUGGCAACUGGCCAAGACUCGCUCGACACUAUUUCUGUUUCAGUGUGAUCACUAGCGACACCUACAAUAAACUCAUGACGGGGAAUAAUAGCAAUUUUUGUUGUGUUCAUUUUAGUUGUUGACGCUGCUUUAGAUGGUUUUUGUUUUAUGUUUUAAAAUUAGCACUAGAGGUUCUUUACUUACCUGAAUAAAAAAGUGAAAUAAGUAUCUCAUAGAAAUGGCUCUCGGUACAUUAAGUGGACCUAAUCAUUAUUACAGUCUUAUAAUUGAUUUCAUACUUCAAUAAAGUGAGUGAAAUUUUGGUGCUGUUUUAUUUCAAAAUUCCCAUUACACUAGAUUGACCUGAUCAUUAUUUUAGGCUUAGAAAUAGAUUUCUUACUUUAGUAAAAUGAUUUCAAUUUUGGUGCUGUUUUAUUCCAAAUUUUGAUUUUAACAUGAAUAUCCUCAAGUUUUCCAUUUGGCAGAUAAACACCCAACACAACACUGUAUCAAAUGGUGUUGCUAGUUUGAGCCAAUAAACUACAACCUUCAUUCACUGGCUGUGAUAAUAUUCUAAGCCAAGCCAUUACAAUAUCUGCUCCAUGCUCUCGCCAUUGUAUUAUCCUAGACAAGCUACUACAGUACAGCCUCAAUCACUUACCACUUUAGUGCUUGACGGUUUUCUCCUUUGCACUUUUUUACUGCAAGUGAAAUAUUUUAGUGAAAUAUUUUUUUAAGUUAUGAUUUAUUUCAUGUAUUCGUUGUAACUGAAAUUCCCACCAAUGAUAAACCACAUUGACAGCAAACACAUCAGCUACUGUAUGAAGAUAAAAAAUUAAACUUGAAUGACAGAGCAGAAUUUUUGAUGUCUGAUUUGUUUCUAGUUUUCUACCGGGUUGAGUUGGCGGGGUUUCACUGUGUGUUGUAGCUGUAUAGAGUGUGUGUCCAGAUGUACACUGAGACAGGUAGGACCACAGGCACAAAUAAGACAAUGACCGUGUGAACAUGUGUUACUCUAUCUCACCAGUUAUAUAUCAAUAUUUUUGUAAAUAGAUUCACAGACAUUGCUUGCAGAAAAGUCUAGAUAUUGGGCAUGAAAGACUGUACAUAUAUGUUGUCAGAGGUGGAAAUCAGACAAGUGAAAAUUCAUUAAGGUCAUCACUACAAGUGACAUUUAUAUCUAGAUCAUUGGUCAUGAGAUCAUACAUAUCUCAAGGUCAUUGGUCAUGAGGUCAUGCGUUUCUCAAGGUUAGUGAUCAUGAGGUCCUAUGUACAUCAAGAUAAAUGAUCAAAAGGUCACAUAUAUCUCAAGGUCAGUGAUCAUAAGGUCACAUAAUCUCAAGGUCAGUGAUCAUGAAGUCACAUAUAAUCUCAAGGUCAGUGAUCAUGAAGUCACAUAUAAUCUUAAGGUCAGUGAUCAUAAGGUCACAUAAUCUCAAGGUCAGUGAUCAUAAGGUCAUAUAAUCUCAAGGUCAGUGAUCAUGAAUUUACAUGUAUUAAGUAAGUGAUGUCGGUGUAGGAGAAUGUCCUACUCUGUCCAAGCGUACCCAUCACAUGCCUUACUUCAUUGUGGAAAGUGCUGUUAUGCAUUGUCUUCAUUAGUGACAGAGAUGCUGAUGGGUGUGAGGAUAGCCAGUGUAUGUAUAUCAAACUCCCGCUGCCACGAUCCUCUGUAACCUGGUUUGAUAACUCAUCAUAUCAAGAAGUGAGGAAGGCAUAAUGAUGAUAAAAUUUCGCCAAAAGAAUUUAUGUAAAAAUAGUUUAUACAUGUAUGUCUCAUAAUCUUUGUGAACCAUGCUUGUUACAACUUGCAUAUUGUGAAAUGUCCACCUUUUUGGUACAGUAUUAAUAGUUAUAGACGCCAUACCAGUUAUCUCAUUCACCCCUACAGUUGGAAACUGGACUUGCCAAGUCUUUGAUUUGGUAAGGUUCCACUGCGACUUUAGGGGUGAAUGGGUUAACAAAGAUAACACUGUUCAAUGUGUGCAGUUUGUACUACCAUUGUCUUUGUCCUCUUUACUCCCACCAGCAUCUCUAAUCACCUGUCACACUGCGAGAACGCCAUCACACAAAUCAACUGUAGUAAGAAAAUGUGUUUCAGUAAGAUAUGUAAAUAUGUGUUUAUAAAACAGCCUGUAUAUAUAUACGCAAAAGUUACAUAUGUUGGUGUGCAGAUCAGUAAAGGCCAACUGCACUUGUGCAUAAUGUGGUCGACAAAACGCUUUAUGUGAACAAGUACAUAUUUGCAAGUGUGCGUAGAUAUGUAUGUAAAUGUUAGGUGUGUGUGUAUGUGUAGAUGUUAGGUGUGUGUGUGUGUGUAGAUGUUAGGUGUGUGUGUAUGUAGAUGUUAGAUAUGUCUGUAGAUGUGUGUGUAUGUGUAGAUGUGUAUGUAGAUAUUAGAUGUGUGUGUAUGUGUAGGCGUGUGAGAGUAUAGGAAUGUCUUUAUGUGGGUAUACACUGUAUUUGUUCAUCAGAUGUACAUAUGUUUUUUGACCAGAUUUAUGGGUUUUUUACUCUCAUUGAAACACCUUUUUGUGUUUUAUCUUGACAUGAAUGUGCUCUUAAUAAAACAAUUGUAAAACUCAUUCAAGCUUCCAUUAAAAUAAAGUUCCCAAUAAGACGGGAGUUGAGGUUUUACCGUUGCUCUCUGCCUUAAAUGCGUUUAUUUUUACUCUGUUGUUACCUGUUAGUGAUUGGGAUCCUUUGAUGGGGUCAAACUGCAUUUGUUGAAGUUUUGGUUUUUGAUUUCAGUGUAUCACUGACAUGUUUUUUAACUUUCCUGUUUUAGAUUUGAUCUCCACAAACUUCUUAUAGUCCCAAGUAUGUUCUUAAUUAAAUUGUUUCGAAAAUCAAUUUUUGGGAUAAAAUGUUAUGAAAAUCAAUUUUAGAAAAAGAAAAAUUGAUUGAUUCCAAUUAUUUUAGUGCUUGUUUUAACAAUUUCUGAAAGUUUUCGCUUAUCUGUCAAUCAGAUUUAUUGUCAGUACUAUCAUUUCCAUCUAAAUUGAGUUCAAUCUAUUUUCAAUGAAGUAAUUUUUCUUUUAUUGGACAAAAGUGUUGUAAUAUGAUUGAUGAGAGGAUGAAAGUGUGGUCAAGUUCUGGAGCGUCUGUGUGGACGUCCAGGAGAGUUUGUGGUGUGUUCUGUAGCGUCUGUGUGGACGUCCAGGAGAGUUUGUGGUGUGUUCUGGAGCGUCUGUGUGGACGUCCAGGAGAGUUUGUGGUGUGUUCUGGAGCGUCUGUGUGGACGUCCAGGAGAGUUUGUGGUGUGUUCUGGAGCGUCUGUGUGGACGUCCAGGAGAGUUUGUGGUGUGUUCUGGAGCGUCUGUGUGGACGUCCAGGAGAGUUUGUGGUGUGUUCUGGAGCGUCUGUGUGGACGUCCAGGAGAGUUUGUGGUGUGUUCUGGAGCGUCUGUGUGGACGUCCAGGAGAGUUUGUGGUGUGUUCUGGAGCGUCUGUGUGGACGUCCAGGAGAGUUUGUGGUGUGUUCUGGAGCGUCUGUGUGGACGUCCAGGAGAGUUUGUGGUGUGUUCUGGAGCGUCUGUGUGGACGUCCAGGAGAGUUUGUGGUGUGUUCUGCAGCGUCUGUGUGGACGUCCAGGAGAGUUUGUGGUGUGUUAGAUGUGCAACCAAUACAAUUCCAUAUUGAUGACAAUAAACAUAAAUUUGUUGACCACAUUUAUAUCACCUUCAAUAAAGAUAAAUUGAACCAUUUACAA
rnacentral:misc_RNA from 1 species